ACAGCAGCUUCGGGGGACACGGCAGCAGACGCUUACGUUACAAAAACUACAGAAAAUGAGCCAGAUGAGGCUCAUGCUGUCCCUGGGAACUUUACAAAAAUAUGGAUGGGAAAAAAACACA